rnacentral:lncRNA from 1 species
CCUCCUUUAAACUUAAAUUUUUGUUAAAAGCAAUUCACUCACUUUAAAAUUGAUACCAUGAACUACGAGGUUUUGAUCCCUCAUUUUUAUGUUGGUACAUAGGCAUAAGUCCGGAGGUCUUGUCAAACACAAAAAUAUAAUCAAUGAAUUCUUUUCUCAUCCCCACACUCUAUUUAUUGCAAGCAUCAUUUUAUACCAAAAAUACAUACACACAUAAAAAAGGGCUCUCUAGGAGUACCUAGGACACUUUGGGUGCUAACACCUUCCCUCUGUGUAACCAACCCCCUUACCUGUAAUCUCUGGCAUUUUAUUAGUUUUGAUUUGAAAACUUCUUAUCUUUGAGUUUUGCUCGUACUUUUCUCUUUUCCCUUGGAAACAAUAAAAGCGCGGUGGCGACUCUGAUUUUAUUGACGUUAAGUUUAUCCAUAGCUUAAUGGUCAUGAAUUUACCGCUACAGUCUGCACGGGAAAAUAUUUCAUUUUAAUAUGCAAUUGAAAGAAAAUAGAAAUAUAGACGAAAUGAACGUAAUGUAAUAGAUAUAACAUUAAUAAAAUCACAACAAAGCAAAAUAUGCAAGUCGAUAAAAACUUCAUAAUAUUUUGAUGAGUUUGAAUAAUAAAAUUAUUAUGUGUCCAACAAAGGAAAUUAAAAACUAAAGUUGUAAUAGUUAUGCAUAAACAAAUGAUACUUGAGGAAUUGGUAGGAUCAAUUGUAGACAUGACAUAACCUAUAAACAUGUUUAAAUAAAGGUGAAUUAAUGAUUUACGAUAAUAAUGGCAGAAAAAAUAUUAAUGUGAUUUAAAAAAAAUAUUAAUAAGCAGAAAAUUAAAGUUACCUAUAUGAUGUUAUGAAAAAAUUCUUUAAAGACAACAUUUGUUGUUUGAAAUAAGGAUUUGUUGUCUUUGUCAUGUAUCAAGAUUUUCAAUCCAGCUUUGCUCUUAACUCUUGAAAUAGCCACAUAUAGUUGUUCGUGGCUGAAAACAUUCUUGGGGAAAUAUAAACCGACAUAGUCCAAUGAUUUACUUUGAGAUUUGUUGAUUGUCAUAGUAAAUGACACAAUAAUUGGGAAUUGUCGUCUGAUAAGUUUGAAUGGCCAUGGAGAUUGAUAAGGAGACAAAUACAUUUUUGGGAUGUAAAUAGUGUUUCCAAUAUUUACUCCUGAAAUAAUUGUUGCUCCGAUUACAUGGUUGACCAACUUAGUAACUCUCAAUCUUGUACCAUUGCAAAGUCCUUCUGAUUGAUCCAAAUUCCUUAUCAACAUGAUGGUUGUGCCAAUUUUCAAUUUAAUUGAGUGGUUUGGCAAUCCAUAAGUUUUUAGACAACUCAAAAAUUAUGGUGUCAAAUGCUCAAAAGCAUCGUUAUCGUUGGCUUCUGAUCUAUCAAUGGAAUCACAACUCAAAUAUUCUUUUGAGUCACUUAAAUUAAAAAUGAAUGAUGCUUAAUGUCUCAAAGUUAAACAUCAUGAAACUAUAAAUGCAUGACAUACCAAAUGUUAUGCUAUGUAUUUACCGUAUGAAACUAUAAGCAUGUAAUUUAUAAGUAUCAUUUUGCAUAGUAAACUAUUCAUCAUAUGUUAUCGUUUAAAACCGGAUGACAUAUAUAAUGCACAACUGAUUAUGUUGUUAAAACAUUGUAUAACCAAUAUAAUAUUUAUGCACAGUUUCUCAUAGAAUGUUGUUGCACUUUUUGUUAUAACACUAAGGAAUAGAAUAUAUAUGCAACAAUUCUAUGAAUAGAUUUACAUAUGCAUGACAUAGAAUACUUUAUCCACUGUUUAUGAUUCAAAAGUGCAACAAUAUUUGUAUUUGUAAACAAUAUAAUAUUUUAGGGUACAUAACAAAACAACAUACCUACAUAUGCAUGUAUCAACAAUUUUAUCUAAUUUUGAAACUAAGAUUGUAUCUUUUGCUAUCAAAAUUUAAUAUACAUGAACUAAAAUGUUAUAUUAUAUCUGUUUUAGUUCUACAUGACAAUGUAUUACAUUUGUUACAUUGUAAUAUGUUUUAUACCAGUUUUGGGGGAAAUAUAUUUUAUAACAACGAUGACAGUGUAUUACAUUGCUUAAAGUAUUAUAGUACUAUCAAAAUGUUGUAAUACAAUUUAUAUUAGUUAAAGUAUUAUAUUCUAAUUUACAAACCAAUGACAAUAUAUUAUAUUGCUUAUAACGGAACUUUAAAAAUAGUAUAAAUCAGAAUGAAGAUAUACCUUGAAGAAGAUUUGUAAUGUAGUCGUUAAUGUCAUCGACUAUUUCAAUAAUUGAUGCCAAAAUAGCUCUACAUUGAAGAAAAUCUGAAUUUGUGUAGUUUUGAAUGAGAUUUGGAUAAGUACUUGUAAUAAUAGCUUCAAUUGGGUCCACAAAAUCUUUAAUGAUUAAAUCUUUUGGAAUAAGUAUCUCAGCAUAUCCAUCACUGGGUUCAAAUUUUUUUUCAUUUCCAACUUGUAAAAUCCAUUCAGAGAAUAGUCGAAUUUCUUCGAAAUUGACUAAAUUUGAGCCACUUUGCAACCACAUAUUUUUUGUUAGAUUAAGAACUUUGCAAUGAUCCAAAAUAUAUGAGGCAUUUAUUGUAGAAUGCACAAUAUCAGACCUACUACCUCUUGGUACAACGGGUAGAAUUUGUCUGAAGUCUCCACCAAAAAUAACAACUUUACCUCAAAAAAUUUGGUUACAUGGACCUUUAUCAUCACUCAUUAUAUCCUUCAAUGACUUCUUAAGAGCUUCAAAAUAAAAUUUAUUUUCCAUAGGUGCUUCAUCCCAUAUAAUGAGUUUUGUGACUUUUAAGAGAUUAGCUAAAUCAAAUUUCUUCUCAAUGUUACAUAUGGAAGAUUCAAGACAUGGAUCUGGAAUUUUGAAUUUGGAAUGUGAUGUUCUCCCUUCUGGUAACAAUAAACUUGUUAUCCCGUUUGAUGCCACAUUCAACACAAUAUCUCCUUGACAACGAAGAACAACAGAAAGUGUAUUCCAUAUGAAAGUCUCUCUGGUGCCCCCAUAACCAUAUAAAAAAAUACUCCACCUUUUUGGUUUGUGACGACUUCCAUGAUUUCUCUAUAAAUGCUAAGUUGUUCUUCUACAAUAAAAAAUAAUAUGUUUUCAUUGGAAUUAUUCAGAAGUCAUAAAAUUAUAUAUGCAAUAUGAACAUGCGUAGUCAUAUAAAGACGACACACUAGAAUAAGGACAACACACUGAAUUGAAUGAUAGAGUAAUGGAAAAAAAUUAUUGCAAGGAAGUGUAAAUAAAAAAUAGAAAUACCUGUUAAUGAUUGAAACAAAUUUUGGUAAAUAUCUUUUUGAGCCGAAAUAUCAUAUUGUCUUUCAUCAUAUAUCAAUUUAUUUCCAAGAAAGUCCAAGACAUAAUUUGAUGGAUAUGGUAUUAGUUUAAAUUCUUUUAAACUUCUUCUAUUUUUUUGAAGUUGUUUCUCAACUUCCAUCAAUGUGAGUUGUUGGAUAUCUUCAUCUGACAAAUAUAAUUCUACAAAUAAUGUUAAGAGCAAAGUAAGUUACCAAAAAUUAGAAAUCCAUAGAUUUGGGAAGAAAAUUCUAAAGUAAUGUGAAUUGUAAACAUGUCGUAUAUAUAGUAAAAUGGGCACAAUAACAGUAGUAUAAACAUGUUAAUUGAAAAGGGUAAAUAAAAAAAUAUGAAUUGUAAAGAUGAGCAGUAUAUAGAAUUUUUUUACAAAAAAGUAAAAUUGAAGGGAUAAAGUAUAAAUUUAUAAUAACCUGAAUUUUGUGACAAUCUUCUUUGUUCAUAUAGAAUGACAUCUGAUAAGUAUAUCCAAGUCUUUUUCCAAACAUGCUCAAGUCGAUUCAUUGAAGGUGACAACAACAUUGUCACAAAAAGUUUGCGCAAAAAAACUCCAAAACCCCAAUUGUAAGCCUCUUUAUUGCCUCAUUGUACUCUUUCUCAUCUUCUAGGAAACCCAAUGCAAAACAUGCGUCUCUAAAGGUAUUGUGUUUGAAUCCCUCAAUUGUCUUCAAAUCAUCAUAACAAGUUGGCCCUUUCUUCACAGUCAACAAUAUCCUCAUAUAAUACAACUCACCAGUUGUUAGAGGCACCCAAAUUAGUCGGCCAAUGGUGUAACCUCUUUUCCGUGGUUUCCAACACCUCUUUCUCCUAUCAUAAACAAAUUUGGAUACAAAUUGAUCAUAUGUUAAUAGUUUUGCUUCUUCAUACUCACUAUUUGCCACAAACCAGGAUGUAAACAUUGACUCUGUGACACUUGGUUUAAGAAGGACAUUCCCAAUUUGCUCAAAGUCUUUGUACUAUACAGAAUUCUCCCCCUCCAUGUGAAAAAAACAAUCUUUCAACUGCUGGUUUUCGACCAUGACUUGAAUAAGAGAAUAUUUUCCAGCAUGCUUCGCUUGGUGAUACAUAACGACAAUCUAGGUAUUGUUUGAUUUCAUCAAUUUUUUCAUCAGUAUGAGAGUUAUUUGGAAUAAUCACUCUUGAGAUUCUAUCAGAACCCUUGUUUAUGUAUUUGAAAAGAUAUUUGAUAGAAGUACUUUGAUUGCACCACUCCAUAUUAAUGUGUGCCUCAUAUUUCAUCAACAAAUUUGGGUUGUGGGGGACAACAUGACCACUAUGAAGUGUGAUUCCAUUUUUUUUCAAUUGUAUUCCCUUGAUCUCUCCUCCUAUAAACUGAAUAUCCAAUCAAAAUUAUCCCAAUUUAAUCAUUCAAUACAAAAUAAUUCUUUCACAUAUCCCAUUCAAACCCUUUUUUUUCAUCAUUUUCAAACUUCUAAACAAAAUCUUAAUUUAAUUAUAUAUCUACAAGAUUGAAAGUCAACUCUAACACUCAUCUUAUUUUAUUAAGUUAAUUAUAUACUCAAUCACAUAUCUUUAAAUUUAUUAAUAUUUAUUUUAAAUUUUAAUAUUAAAAAUUCACAAACAAUUAAUGUGAAACAAUGAACUAUGCCUGUUAGGCUGUUACUAUGACUAUGAGACUAAGGUGUAAUAUUUAUUUCUCAAAUGAUUUGUAAACAAAAUAUAGACAACACCACAUCAUCAUAGAACAAUCCACAUCGGAUAACGGGAGGCGCGUGAAACAAACGAACCACCAUAACAGUAAAAAAACGGACAUAUCUUAUGUCAAGUGAAUACACAACAACGCAACACUCACUAACUCUUAAUUUUGUAUCCAAAUAUCCUGAAAAAUAAAAAACAAACAAAUCUACACAAAUGAUGAACAAGAAAGUCACAAUAAUAAUAAAAAGCCGAAAAGAAAGGAAAAAAAAAAACAAGAUCCACCUCGAACCUCUCUCCACUCUCCCACUACAUUCCAAUCCAAUCACAAUCACCCUCUCUUCUCUCACAACAACAACAACACCACCACUAUCCUCACCCCCUUGUUGUCUCCCAAACCCCAUCCCCAAUUAUCACUCUCUAUAAUCCUUCAAUCAAAUUCCACAAAUUGAUUCUCUCUUCACCACCACCACCAUCACCACCACCACCGCCUUGAACAAAACCAGUGCUUGAUUCAUCACACACAUACACCGAACUCUGUGUGUGUCAGAUUUUGAGAAUCCAAUAAUGAGAGAAGACGAUUCAAAUUGGUUUUCACGAUGGGAAGAACAACUACCUCCACCGGAAGAACUCAUGCCUUUAUCACAAACCCUAAUCACUCCUGAUCUCGCUAUAGCUUUCGAUAUCAGAAACCCUCACACCACGAACACUAUCAACGCUAAUCCGCAACACCAACAACAUCAUCAACAACAACAGCAACAACCUCCACCUUCUU